rnacentral:rRNA from 1 species
UAAGGAAUAUUGGACAAUGGAGGCAACUCUGAUCCAGCCAUGCCGCGUGAAGGAAUAAGGCCCUAUGGGUUGUAAACUUCUUUUAGACGGGACAAAACCCCUUUACGUGUAAAGGGUUGAUGGUACUGUCAGAAUAAGCAUCGGCUAACUUCGUGCCAGCAGCCGCGGUAAUACGAAGGAUGCAAGCGUUAUCCGGAAUUAUUGGGUUGAAAGGGUGCGUAGGCGGACUAAUAAGUCAGUGGUGAAAGCCUGCAGCUUAACUGCAGAAUUGCCAUUGAUACUGUUAGUCUUGAGUACAGUUGAGGUAGGCGGAAUGUGUCAUGUAGCGGUGAAAUGCUUAGAUAUGACACAGAACACCGAUUGCGAAGGCAGCUUGUUAAGCUGUAACUGACGCUGAGGCACGAAAGCGUGGGGAGCAAACA